rnacentral:rRNA from 1 species
CCUACGGGAGGCAGCAGUGGGGAAUAUUGCGCAAUGGGGGCAACCCUGACGCAGCAAUACCGCGUGAGUGAAGAAGGUUUUCGGAUCGUAAAGCUCUGUUAUUGGGGAAGAAGCAGUGACGGUACCCAAUGAGGAAGUCCCGGCUAACUACGUGCCAGCAGCCGCGGUAAUACGUAGGGGACGAGCGUUGUCCGGAAUCACUGGGCGUAAAGGGCGCGUAGGCGGUUUUAUAAGUCAGAUGUGAAAGGUACCGGCUCAACCGGUGACGUGCAUUUGAAACUGUAAGACUUGAGUACUGAAGAGGCAAGCGGAAUUCCUAGUGUAGCGGUGAAAUGCGUAGAUAUUAGGAAGAACACCGGUGGCGAAGGCGGCUUGCUGGGCAGAUACUGACGCUGAGGUGCGAAAGCGUGG